CAGGAAGGCAAUAAAGGUUCAGGUUAGACAGGAAGAGGCUCUCUUGGGAAGCUACGGUGGCAUGGUGAGCUAAGGCAGAUCUCCAAGUGCUCCAGUUGUUCCAAAGUAAACGCCGCCAUCUGUCCAUUGACUGUGGAAAUUUCAUCACCGUCUCCAGUGAAACAGCAUUCAUCUAUGUUGGGGCUGCCUUCUAACCACCCAAUAAGAUAUUAAAGUUCAAACCUGGAGGCUCCAUGGAACAUCUAUCAACAUGACUGAGCAGGAGGUGCUGGGGGAAGCAG